rnacentral:lncRNA from 13 species
CUCACUUGACCUGCUUUGUUGCACAAAACCCUGUAGCUCACCUUUGCCUUCCCGUCUGUUUACUCUUCGUGUGGGGUUGUCAAGGAGAAACAUUGGAGGGGAGAGGAGGAAGCAGGCGGUAUUAUGGGCAGUCGGUCUCUCCUCUCUCAGCCAACUAUGAGAACUAUUUGGGAUUGAAGGAGAUAAGCUACAGCAGGUCGCCACUUGUCCUGAACGCUCGACCAUUCUUUGAGCAAGAAGACAGACCUGGAGAUAGGGUUCUGCCAUGUUGACCAGAUUGGUCUCGAACUCCUGACCUCAAGUGCUCUUCCCACGUGGGCCUCCCAAAGUGCUGG